UACGUAGGGUGCGAGCGUUGUCCGGAAUUAUUGGGCGUAAAGAGCUCGUAGGCGGUUUGUCGCGUCGACUGUGAAAACCUACAGCUUAACUGUGGGCUUGCAGUCGAUACGGGCAGACUUGAGUUCGGUAGGGGAGACUGGAAUUCCUGGUGUAGCGGUGAAAUGCGCAGAUAUCAGGAGGAACACCGGUGGCGAAGGCGGGUCUCUGGACAGUUCCUGACACUGAGGCACGAAGGCCAGGGGAGCAAACGGG
rnacentral:rRNA from 1 species